rnacentral:misc_RNA from 1 species
AUAUAUAUAUAUAUAUACAUAUACACAACCAAAUCCUUGAGGUUUAACAAAACUCACUCACACAUUUGUCGUUCUUGAGAAGACCACUUUUGCUAUUACAGUCAGUUACAGAGUCGGGAGAUAAUGUUGGGAAUUUGUUGGGAAUUUGUUAGUUAGAUGAUAUCUGUAGACUUGUUGGAUAUAAGAGACGAUAGUUAACCGUGUAAAAGAUAUCUUGAUUCAUUUUGCUAAAUAAUAUAUUCUGGUUCUUGAUCUUUUGCUGUGUUCUUUCUUUUUUCCAUUCUAAAACAUAACAGGAAAGCCACAUAUGAUAGAUGACCCUUCUCCUAUGCUUGAAAAAUAGGGAGAUUCAAAAACUAGAGGCACCUAAAAAUAGGCUUACUUCUAUUUUUAUAUGGACUAAGAAAAUGUAGUUAAUUUAGUUAAAACAAUUUUAUUUAGUUUUUCCCAAUAAAUCCUCCACUCAUAUUACUAAAUUAAAAAUUAAACAACUCAUGUCACUAAAUUAUUCUUAGAACUAAUAGAUUUUACUUUUUCAAUGCAUAUUAAA